UCUUUAUCUCUGAACCAGAAAAGAGAGACGUGUACCUAAUUUACCAAGCAUUAAAUGAUUUUCUUCAAUUUUAUCUAAGUUAACUCAAGAGAGGAAAAUGUUUCUACAGGUGUAGAAGCUUCUGAUGUUAAAAUCAUCCUCACUUCAGCGGCUGCUGUGACUGUAGGACCUUAAUCGUCUUGCAGUCGCUCACCUGGGACUUUUAAAAUAACCCAAACACCCAACUACAUUUGACACCAUUAUUCCUUGGUGCUAAACGUCUUACAUUUGGACCCCAGUGAGCCCCUGACAUCCUCUUUCCAGUAUAACUGCUUUUCCUUCACAGCAGUUAAGGACAUUGAUGUCAGAACGGAGUAGUUGAAGGAGGUUCAAGAAAAGGAUCUGGAGAUGAGACACGGCAGGCUGGCACUAUUGGUGAACUUGCCUGAAGGCCCACACGAUCGUGUCAUGUUCUGCUAAGAAUAAGAAUUCCCACCACGAUGACCAGUUUCAGCUUUGACGUGGCCCAAGCAGAAGCUGUCUUUGAACACGUUGAUCGAGCAAAGGUCUUGGUGUUCGUAUUAAAAGUUAGUUUUCUGUGUGUCCUUUGCCACUUGGUAGGGCUCAGCCCUCCUGCUUUGCUCCAGCAUCUUCGGGUGGCGGGGAGCUCGGCAGCCUGGGGAUGGUCCCCCCAAGGCCGUGUGCGUCCUGACUCCCGAGCCCCCCGCUCUCCUCUCCUCGGUCCCCCGCGGUCCCAGCGCUUCUCUCGCGGGGACCUCCCUUCUCCUCAGGGACCGCUGCCUGCCUCGCUCUAACCUGCCCUCUCGUCUGACUUGCUACAACCCUGGAGCAGACCCUUCACGGGCACGUGUGUGUCCGUGGGGUGGGCGUGUCCCUUGCGGGACCUGGUGGGAAGCUGGGGCUCUCCUCUGAGGUCACCGCGCACACACACGUGUGGGGACAGCCAGAGGGCUCCUGGGCCAGUUGAGGGUCCACGGACCCCAGGUCAGCAGCCCCUGUCGGGAAUUUUCACUUGGGAGAGGCUCACGCCUGGUGGGACGCGGGACGCUGCUGUGUUCUUCCUGCUGCCCUGCCUGUAGGGCUUUCGAAAUACUCACUGUUUUCUAAAAUGUUUGCCUCAGUUUUGUCUCCGUGGUUAGAGUGUAAGCUCCUUGAAGGAAGGGACAGAGGACUUAGAUGGCAAGACAACCACUUUGACUAAACAAGGAAGCGUCUGUGGGACCCUGCUGUACACAGGCAACUGCAGUCGUCUCUCAAAGGGAAAUACGAUGUGUGUGGUCAGCUGUGUAUCAUCACACACGCAACAAGUACCUGUGUCACGAGUGGACUGUUCACAGAUAAGCCUGAUAAACGUGUGAACACAGGUUACGGGUUAUGAUGCCACCAGAGAGGAUCCGCGUUGCGCGCCUGGAUUCUGGGCAGCCGCCUCGCUGCGCACCAUCCCCACAGGAGGCUCCUGCUUCCCCACUGGCGGCCGCGCGGCUGGGGUUCAAGCCCGCCCGUCGUCAGAACCAAAAGGCCCCAGAAGGUGCAGGAGGAAUGGCCGGAGGAGGCCACCUGGGGACAGAUUCCACACGCACAUCUUACAAUAAGGACUUAAAUGAGCUUUUCACCCAGAGUUUUAAAGUGCGGGUAUUUGCACCGUGGACGGCUGUCUCCCUGCCUGCAAGACUUAGGGAAGCUUUGGAGAGGGCUCAGAGCCCCGUCAGCGCCCCCUCCAGGGCCUGGUGGGUCACCCACGGUUUACACCCGCUGUCAUUUUCUCUCCUGGUUUUCCAGGCUUUGCUGGAUGCUAAUUCAUUGUCCAAACAUCCCCCAAAGUGGGCUUUGUAGAGUUGAGAGACACAGCACCGCGGGGGAACGCUGAGAGAGGCCUCGGUCACCGGUCCCGCAGGUGAGGAGACAGGCUGGGCGCUGACUUUCCACGCGCACUGCCCUUGGGGCCGUUUUCUGCGCCAUCAGUGGUCUUCCAAAUAGAGCCCUCUUAAAUAAAACGUGCCAACAUAUGAGCCCAGGAGGAUGCAUCUGCCGCUCCCGGGCCCAGACGGAGGGGGUGGAGUCACCUGGAAGGCCGUCGGGCACCCAGACCCUUGGCGGGGCCCUGUCCCAAAGCCCGGCUGGGCCCAUGCCUCCUGUCGAGGCUGCCUGCUCAGGCCUCCGAAAGGACUCACAGCACCCUUUCAGUUGCCAGACGUCGGUGUGAUGGGCAGGGCCUGGGCCGGCCCCGCAGCAUCUUACGACAGGGGCUCCGUCUGUGGCGCCUUUGGGGGAGUUUCUCCACGAGAGACUCCAUGCAAGGGUCUCACCGACCUUUGCUGCCAGCCCCAUGCCCUCCCAACCCCCGUUAUUCAUCUGCAGGACAGCGUGGGUCAUGAAAGGGGUGGCCCAGGCCCCUUCACGCCUGUCCUGUGAGUCAGCGCCGAGGCUGCCGCGGCCUGAGCCCCCAGGGCCGUGCUGCGGGUCGGAGGCCCAGGAGGUGGGAGCUCAGACGCGGCCGAUCUGCCCUAGACGAGGGACGAGAUAGUAACGUGACCGUUUAUGCCCGUUUGUGACCACACUGCUCCUGUCGUGCCGGCCAGACGUGCUCCCCAGGUGACCAGGCAGGAGGGGGCCUUCUGGGACUGGCCUUGGGCGGCCCCUUCUCAGGGCAAGUCAGCGGCCCCGGCGGGGCCGCCUGGGCAGUGACCCCGCCCCACCUGGGCAGUGAUCCCACCCCACCUGGGCAGUGACCCCGUCCCCACUUGGGCAGUGACCCCGUCCCCCGCCUGGGCAGUGACCCCGCCCCACCUGGGCAGUGACCCCGUCCCCACCUGGGCAGUGACCCCCGUCCCCACUUGGGCAGUGACCCCGCCCCACCUGGGCAGUGACCCCGCCCCACCUGGGCCCCCUCUGCCUGCUGCUCCUGCAGGCGGUGACCCAGCAGGAGAAGCCGGUUAACCAGCAAAGGGGACCUUGACCCGCCUGCGGGACUGGAGAGACGAGAGUCCCUCUGGAGAGAAAAGGGCCGGGGCCCACGCUCUCCCCGUGUCUGUCUCUGUUCCGAGCGUGCGUGUGUGUGUCCGUGUGCACGCGUGCCGGGGCGUCUCGAGGAGGAGCCCACGCACAUGCCCUGUGCCCCGGUUUGCCGGCAGUGGAGGGGCUCGUGUCUGCAGCCGCACGCCGCUCCUUCCGCCUGCAGGCAAGGUCAGCCCGUCUCAGUCCGCAGGUGCCGCUGCGCUUGGAGACUGCCGCCAGCCCCAGGGUUCCGGUGAGUUCACUGCUGGGCCUGGCGAGCGGCGGGGGCUGUUCUGCACGUGCACGUCUGCAGGAAUCCCAGCCUUCUCCUCUGCGGACACAGGAAUCCCAGCCUUCUCCUCUGCGGACAGAAGGUUCUUGGCAGGAAGGAUGAGGCUUUCUCUUCUGCUCACGUUAGUUGGCCACCUGCUCCAGGGAGGCCAGGUUUGCUGACUUACAGGGACUGAUCUGCAGUCAGGGGCUGCAUUCCAGCGCGGGCAGGGCCCGGGUCUGCGCCGCAGCUCCUGGGACGCGCUAUGCUGGUGGGCGGGGCCGAGGGGCAGCGGGGCGCGGAGCGCUGUCGUCUUCACUGCGCUUUAAUGAUGGGGUGAGCAUGUUGGGGCCGCAGCCAAUAGGUGAGGAUAAUUACGCCUGGAAUUCAUGCACCCCGGCCCCACGUUAUCACUCACAACCGCCCUCCCAGCGCUUGGGGGCCGGAGAAGUGUCAGGAUGGCUCCAGGGCUGGAGACCCCAGCUUCCUGGUGAAGCGCACGUCUGGCAGAGUCCUGAGAGCACUGCUGCUAGAUCUGAAGAGGUCAGCAACCUGAUUUUAGGAGAAAAGCACUCCUUUUCUUCCCAGGUUGCCCUCGAGGGAAAACUGGCUCAGAGGGAAUUCACUUCCGGGGCUAACUUGCAGGGGCAGCAAGUAGGGGUUUUGUCUCGGUGCCCUCUCGAAUCUCCUUUGUGAACUUGGAACAAAAGCCCCCAAAUCGCUCUUGGUGCCCCUGCCUUCUCGGUGGGGGUGGGGGGUGGGGCUGGCCAGAAAUGCAGCGCACGGCCACCCGGUCAUGAAGCGGGAGACACAAGCUGUGUUUCCUUCCUUUUGUACCUUGGCAGUUUAACAGGGCAUUGGUGGGAGGAGCUCCAGGGCCCUGGGUGAGGAUGAACCCCGUCCCAGGAACAUGUGCCGCCGGGCGCCAUGUGCAUCAGGGGCGUCUAAUCUGAGCGGUGACUGCCCCUCUGGGUAUUUUCCUGUGGACGGUUUUGAUAUGGAAAGGAGCGGCUUACACGGUGGGCCUAGCUUAGUCUGCUAUAUUUAGCUGUUAAAAAGAGUUCUCUCUGAUCUCUUUUUUGGGAACGGUCCUCUGCCCCAGCUUCUCUGUUACCCACUCUGCAGGGUGUGACAGCUGAGGCCGGUCACGUGGAAAAACAAAACAGGCUUCUCGCGUUGGGGAGAGUGAUCGUAUUUUAUGCGGUGGGAAAAGUAAGGAGGAAGAUAGGUUCUUUGAGCUACAAGAAGAGCCUGAGAGAAUGUCCAGUCGAGUGGUUUUCAGCUUUCCUGCAGCCCUUGGUCCUCCAACAUAAGGGCGGAUGCUCAGGGCAGGUGAGGCCCGGGGAGCCCCUGCUCACGUGGUCACUCUGUCCUCUCUGGCCAUGAUGAUCGACGACGAGGCCCAGCCUUGGAACCUGCUCCAAAGUGAGCACAUCUAUUUGAUUCCGUCUCAUUUUUAUUCAUUUAUUUUUUUGUGCAGGUAUAAACACAAUUACUUAUGUUUGGCUUAUCAAGGCCACAGUCAUCCACAUAAACUCCUGUGUUUGCUUUUUAGCAUCUUUAUUGGAGUAUAAUUGCCUUACGACGGUUCGUCUCAUGUUUAAAGAAGUCAUUUCUGCAACUUUUUACAAUUCAUGUAAUAGAUUGAUAUGGUCAAAUAUAUGCAUACAAGUAAUUUAUAAAUCGGUAAACAUACAUCUUCAGGGUAUAGGUAUAUUCAAAGAUUCUCCUGGAGGAGGGACAGACAGUUCAAAAGUUUGGAGGCCACCGUGUCAGUGGACACGUGUGGACAGCACGGCCCACUACACUAACACCCUGCUUUUGCCCCAAGGAGGCGGGAGAUGCGGGGCUUUGCAGACAGGUGGCUGCUGUUCAGUCGGGUGGGCGCCCAGGAUGCCACCUCGCACACCAGGGCCUGCGCAUCACAGCAGGCUGCCCUCUAGGCCCCGAGCUUGCACAGCUGACGACUAAAGUGUCAGGGCCCCUCAGGAGAGCUUCGGUGGGUACAAGCCCCCAGAGUGAGGCUUCACAGCCCAGUCCAUCCUCAUCUGGCUUUGCUUCUUCCUCCAGAGAAGUUAAUCAACCUCCUGCACAAACGUCUUUUCUUUUUUUCUCCCUACAAAUAGAUCCAUCGAGAUCAAACUUCAAAAAAAAAGAGCUAGUUUGCCUUCACAUAAGGAAGAAGAAAGAAUGACCAAAAGUAGAAUUUGGGUGUGUCUUCUGUCUGUGACCAGGCUUCCCUGGUCUGGGGUUUGAGCCUCGUCUUAGACGCUGGUGAGAGCUGGAUGGAACCCCCUUGUGAAGAAAGGCUUACGGGAAGGGGGGGACCACAGGACACCUGUUGGGGUUUUGACCAGAUGCUUCAGAUGUGGAUCAACUGAGGGGAACUGACGUCUUGACAAUAUUGAGUCUUCCAGCUCACGAGCAAGGUGUGUCUCUGCACUAAUACAGGACUUGAAUUUCCUCAGCAAAGUAGUGUGGGUCUUACGUACCUGUGUCAGACUUAGUUGUGAGUUUGAUGCCAUUGCAAAUGGUGAUGUGUUUUUAGUUAAAAUCUCCAACUGUUCCUCAUUCGUUGCAGUGCAGUCACCUCCCUGUGUCCGCGGGUGAUGCGUUCCAGGGCCCCUGAGGGCACCCAAAUCCAAGGACGCUCAAAUUUCUCUAUCAAAUGUUUGCGUAUAACCUACACACACCCUCCCAUAGACUUUAAAUCAUCUCUAGAUUGCUUGUAAUGCCUGCUACAAUGUAAAUGUUAUAUAAAUACUUGUAAAUACAAUGCUACUAUAUAGGUCCCAGGAUGUGGAAAAUUCAAGUUUUGCUUUUGGGAACUUUCUGAAAUUAAAUAUAUGUAUUUGAUCUGUGGUUGGUUGGAUCUGAGGGUGCUGGACAUGCAGAUAUGAAAGGUUGACUGUGUAUAGAAAUGCAUUUGAUAUUUCAUACUGACCUUGUACCCUGCACCCCUACUUUUACUUGUUAAUUCUUGAAUCUUUUUACUUAGAGUUCACUAGAUUUUCUGCGUAGGUGAUUAUGUUGUCUGCAAAUAAGACAGGUUUAGUUCUUCCUUUCUCAUCUGGGGCCAUUUGAUUUCUUUUUCUUUCCCUGAUGGAUUGCUGGGACACCCCCCCCCCCCAUUACAAUAGUGAGUACAAGUGGUGAAAGUCAUGUCCUUGUCUUAUUCUUGAUCUCAGGAAUAAAACUGUCAGCAUUUCACCGUUAUGUGCACUUUAUCAGAGUGAAGAAAUUUCUUUCCUAUUCCCAGUUUACUGUGAAGCUGUAUUUUGUAAAAUGCUUCUGUGUCCGUUGAGAUCAUCGUGUGGUUUUUCUUUUUAGUUUAUUGUAAUAUGGUAAAAUACAUUGAUUGAUUUUUGAAUAUUAAACCAACCUUGCAUUCCUGG